AAGACCUUGCGCUUUUGGAGCGGCCGAUGUCUGAUUAGCUUGUUGGUGAGGUAAAGGCUUACCAAGGCUUCGAUCAGUAGCUGGUCUGAGAGGACGACCAGCCACACUGGGACUGAGACACGGCCCAGACUCCUACGGGAGGCAGCAGUGGGGAAUUUUGGACAAUGGGGGCAACCCUGAUCCAGCCAUGCCGCGUGAGUGAAGAAGGCCUUCGGGUUGUAAAGCUCUUUCAGCCGGAACGAAACGGUUACGAUUAAUACCCGUAACUACUGACGGUACCGGAAGAAGAAGCACCGGCUAACUACGUGCCAGCAGCCGCGGUAAUACGUAGGGUGCGAGCGUUAAUCGGAAUUACUGGGCGUAAAGCGUGCGCAGGUGGUUUUGUAAGUCAGAUGUGAAAUCCCCGGGCUUAACCUGGGAACU
rnacentral:rRNA from 1 species